rnacentral:tRNA from 1 species
AAGGACUUAGCUUAAUUAAAGUGUUUGAUUUGCAUUCAAUUGAUAUGGGAUAAAUUCCUGUAGUCCUUA